UACGAAGGGUGCAAACGUUGCUCGGAAUUAUUGGGCGUAAAGCGCGUGUAGGCGGCAUGGCAAGUCGGGUGUGAAAGCCCUCAGCUCAACUGAGGAAGUGCGCCCGAAACUGCUUUGCUUGAGUGCUGGAGAGGGUCGCGGAAUUCCCCAAGUAGAGGUGAAAAUUCGUAGAUAUGGGGAGGAACACCGGUGGCGAAGGCGGCGACCUGGACAGUAACUGACGCUGAGACGCGAAAGCGUGGGGAGCGAACAGG
rnacentral:rRNA from 1 species